AUACGGAGGGGGCUAGCGUUGUUCGGAAUUACUGGGCGUAAAGCGCGCGUAGGCGGACCAGUCAGUCAGGGGUGAAAUCCCGGGGCUCAACCCCGGAACUGCCUUUGAUACUGCUGGUCUUGAGUUCGAGAGAGGUGAGUGGAAUUCCGAGUGUAGAGGUGAAAUUCGUAGAUAUUUGGAGGAACACCAGUGGCGAAGGCGGCUCACUGGCUCGAUACUGACGCUGAGGUGCGAAAGCGUGGGGAGCAAACAGGAUUAGAAACCCUAGUAGUCC
rnacentral:rRNA from 1 species